CCUCUUUCACUUUUAACUUUAUUUGGCAAAGCAGCACUGCAUAAACUGUUCAGUAACUAGGACACAGCUUACACAGCAUGUUAAAUCCAUAUACAUUAUGAGCAGCAAGUUAGAAACAAAAAACAAUACUAAGCUACAAGUCUCCUAUUAUUUUUAAAGAGAAAAAGGAAGAACUAUGUCAGUUAUGUCCAAUCUGAACAGCCGAGUGUUUUAGGGGACAUCACCUGCCAUUUCCUUAAGUUUUAAUAUUUACAAAUGCUUAGUUUUAAGGUAACAAAGCAGCUGAUUGUAUCUACAACAUGCUAUUCUAUGACACCACAUCAAAAGCUUUAAAAAGGAAGCUCAUCUCUAUUUUCUUAGUAGCAUCUAACAUACACCCAAAAACCAAGAAUCUUAACUUGUGAAUGGUGGUGUUAUCUGAUGCACAAAAGCAGUCCGAUAAAUUAACAUCAGAAAAGAAUUAAGUGCCUAAGAAAAGAAAAGUCACUCCUCAAAAUCAAUUCACAAACCAUGUUUUCCAUUUUGCAGAACCCCUUCUUUUAAUAUUUAAAGGAAAACGUGGGCAUGUUAAAGUA
rnacentral:lncRNA from 1 species